rnacentral:rRNA from 1 species
GGUGAACGCCGGCGGUAGGCCUAACACAUGCAAGUCGAACGGCAGCACAGUAAGAGCUUGCUCUUACGGGUGGCGAGUGGCGGACGGGUGAGGAAUACAUCGGAAUCUACUUUUUCGUGGGGGAUAACGUAGGGAAACUUACGCUAAUACCGCAUACGACCUACGGGUGAAAGCAGGGGAUCUUCGGACCUUGCGCGAUUGAAUGAGCCGAUGUCGGAUUAGCUAGUUGGCGGGGUAAAGGCCCACCAAGGCGACGAUCCGUAGCUGGUCUGAGAGGAUGAUCAGCCACACUGGAACUGAGACACGGUCCAGACUCCUACGGGAGGCAGCAGUGGGGAAUAUUGGACAAUGGGCGCAAGCCUGAUCCAGCCAUACCGCGUGGGUGAAGAAGGCCUUCGGGUUGUAAAGCCCUUUUGUUGGGAAAGAAAAGCAGCAGGUUAAUACCCCGCUGUUCUGACGGUACCCAAAGAAUAAGCACCGGCUAACUUCGUG